rnacentral:rRNA from 1 species
AUUGAACGCUGGCGGCAUGCCUUACACAUGCAAGUCGAACGGCAGCACGGGAGCAAUCCUGGUGGCGAGUGGCGAACGGGUGAGUAAAGUAUCGGAACGUGCCCAGUCGUGGGGGAUAACGUAGCGAAAGUUACGCUAAUACCGCAUACGAUCUAUGGAUGAAAGCGGGGGAUCGCAAGACCUCGCGCGAUUGGAGCGGCCGAUAUCAGAUUAGGUAGUUGGUGGGGUAAAGGCUAACCAAGCCGACGAUCUGUAGCUGGUCUGAGAGGAGGACCAGCCACACUGGGACUGAGACACGGCCCAGACUCCUACGGGAGGCAGCAGUGGGGAAUUUUGGACAAUGGGCGAAAGCCUGAUCCAGCCAUGCCGCGUGCAGGAUGAAGGCCUUCGGGUUGUAAACUGCUUUUGUACGGAACGAAAAGGUUUGGCCUAAUAAGCUGAGCUCAUGACGGUACCGUAAGAAUAAGCACCGGCUAACUACGUGCCAGCAGCCGCGGUAAAAC